CAACUCACGCCGCCUGGAACACCUCAGCGUAAUGGUGUGUCCGAACGUCGUAAUCGCACUCUAUUGGAUAUGGUGCGAUCUAUGAUGUCUCUUACCGAUCUACCACUAUCAUUUUGGGGUUAUGCUAUAGAGAGUGCCGCAUUCAUUUUAAAUAGGGCUCCGUCGAAAUCCGUUGAGGCGACACUGUAUGAAUUGUGGUUUGGGAAGAAACCUAAGCUGUCGUUUCUGAAAGUUUGGGGAUGUGACGCUUAUGUCAAGAAACUUCAACCUGAAAAGCUCGAACCCAAAUCGGAAAAAUGCGUCUUCAUAGGAUACCCUAAGGAAACUAUUGGGUAUACCUUCUACCUCAGAUCCGAAGGCAAGAUCUUUGUUUCCAAGAAUGGAUCCUUCCUAGAG
rnacentral:rRNA from 1 species